CUUUUAAUUGGAGGCUUGUAUGAAUGGUUGGACAAAAAGUAAGCUGUCUCAGUUAUAUUAUUUGAAUUUAACUUUUAAGUGAAAAGGCUUAAAUGAACUAGAGGGACGAUAAGACCCUAUAAAGCUUUACAAUUAUUUAAUUAGAUUAUAAAUUGUUGGUAUAACUUGAUUUAAUUAAUAUUUGUUUCGUUGGGGCGACGAGAAUAAAAUUAAAAUAACUGUUCUUUUAUUAGUAGUUACAAAUUUGUUUGGUUAAAAAUUGAUCCUUUAUUAGAGAUCAAAAGAUUAAGUUACUUUAGGGAUAACAGCGUAAUUCUCUUUGAGAGUCCAUAUCGACAAGAGGGGUUGCGACCUCGAUGUUGAAUUAAAGUAUCCUCGUGGUGUAGCAGUUGCAGAGGAGGGUCUGUUCGACCUUUAAUUCUUUACGUGAUCUGAGUUCAGACCGGAUUUAUCAAUAUUUUUAUAUUUCUAUUCAAAACAAAACUAAUUGACAUUAACUUAAAUAUAUUUAAAAGAGCAGAGCAUAAUUAUUUAGUAAUAAUAUAAUUAAUGUGCUGAAUGA
rnacentral:rRNA from 1 species